GACGAACGCUGGCGGCGUGCUUAACACAUGCGAGUCGAACGGAAAGGCCUGCUAUCCCUUGUGGAUUGCGGGUACUCGAGUGGCGAACGGGUGAGUAACACGUGAGUGAUCUGCCCCCAACUUGGGUAUAAGCCUGGGAAACUGGGUCUAAUUCCCGAUAGGACUGCAGGGUGGUGCCUGUGGUGGAAAACGAUUUUCUAGUGGUUGGGGAUGAGCUCGCGGCCUAUCAGCUUGUUGGUGGGGUAAUGGCCUACCAAGGCGGCGACGGGUAGCCGGCCUGAGAGGGUGGACGGCCACAUUGGGACUGAGAUACGGCCCAGACUCCUACGGGAGGCAGCAGUGGGGAAUAUUGCACAAUGGGCGGAAGCCUGAUGCAGCGACGCCGCGUGGGGGAUGACGGCCUUCGGGUUGUAAACUCCUUUCGACCGCGAGGAAGCCACCUGGUUGGAAGGGUGGUGACGGUAGUGGUAGAAGAAGCACCGGCUAACUACGUG
rnacentral:rRNA from 1 species